UCUGCCUACGGGGCGCAGCAGUGAGGAAUAUUGGUCAAUGGACGCAAGUCUGAACCAGCCAUGCCGCGUGCAGGAAGACGGCUCUAUGAGUUGUAAACUGCUUUUGUACGAGGGUAAAUGCAGGUACGUGUAUCUGUUUGAAGGUAUCGUACGAAUAAGGAUCGGCUAACUCCGUGCCAGCAGCCGCGGUAAUACGGAGGAUCCGAGCGUUAUCCGGAUUCAUUGGGUUUAAAGGGUGCGUAGGUUGUUUUAUAAGUUAGCGGUGAAAUACCGAUGCUCAACAUCGGGGCUGCCGCUAAUACUGU
rnacentral:rRNA from 1 species